CAGCCGCCACGGUAAUACGGAGGGUGCAAGCGUUAUCCGGAUUCACUGGGUUUAAAGGGUGCGUAGGCGGGCAGGUAAGUCAGUGGUGAAAUCUUCGAGCUUAACUCGGAAACUGCCGUUGAUACUAUCUGUCUUGAAUAACGUUGAGGUGAGCGGAAUAUGUCAUGUAGCGGUGAAAUGCUUAGAUAUGACAUAGAACACCGAUUGCGAAGGCAGCUCACUAAACGCUCAUUGACGCUGAGGCGCGAAAGCGUGGGGAUCAAACAGGAUUAGAUACCCCAGUAGUCCCUGUCUCUUAUAA
rnacentral:rRNA from 1 species